rnacentral:rRNA from 1 species
UACAUGGGGUGCAAACGUUGCUCGGAAUUAUUGGGCGUAAAGCGCACGUAGGCGGUCCGUUAAGUCGGAUGUGAAAGCCCCCGGCUCAACCGGGGAAGUGCAUCCGAAACUGGCAGGCUAGAGUACGAAAGAGGGUCGCGGAAUUCCCGGUGUAGAGGUGAAAUUCGUAGAUAUCGGGAGGAACACCCGGUGGCGAAGGCGGCGACCUGGGUCGAUACUGACGCUGAGGUGCGAAAGCGUGGGGAGCAAACAGG